rnacentral:rRNA from 1 species
GAUAAACGCUAGCGGCAGGCUUAACACAUGCAAGUCGAGGGGCAGCAUAGAUUGUAGCAAUACAAUUGGUGGCGAGCGGCGCACGGGUGCGUAACGCGUAUGCAACCUACCCGUCACAGGGGGAUAAUCCGGAGAAAUCUGGUCUAAUACCCCAUAACAUAUGGAUCGGCAUCGGUUCAUGUUGAAAUUUUCGGAGGUGACGGAUGGGCAUGCGUAGCAUUAGCUUGUUGGUUAGGUAACGGCUCACCAAGGCGACGAUGCUUAGGGGGACUGAGAGGUUUUCCCCCCACACUGGUACUGAGACACGGACCGGACUCCUACGGGAGGCAGCAGUGAGGAAUAUUGGUCAAUGGGCGCAAGCCUGAACCAGCCAUGCCGCGUGCAGGAUGACGGCUCUAUGAGUUGUAAACUGCUUUUGUACGAGGGUAAAGUGGGUUACGUGUAACCUUUUGAAAGUAUCGUACGAAUAAGGAUCGGCUAACUCCGUGCCAGCAGCCGCCGUAA